AUUGAACGCUGGCGGCAGGCCUAACACAUGCAAGUCGAGCGGAUGACGGGAGCUUGCUCCUUGAUUCAGCGGCGGACGGGUGAGUAAUGCCUAGGAAUCUGCCUGGUAGUGGGGGACAACGUUUCGAAAGGAACGCUAAUACCGCAUACGUCCUACGGGAGAAAGCAGGGGACCUUCGGGCCUUGCGCUAUCAGAUGAGCCUAGGUCGGAUUAGCUUGUUGGUGAGGUAAUCGCUCACCAAGGCGACGAUCCGUAACUGGUCUGAGAGGAUGAUCAGUCACACUGGAACUGAGACACGGUCCAGACUCCUACGGGAGGCAGCAGUGGGGAAUAUUGGACAAUGGGCGAAAGCCUGAUCCAGCCAUGCCGCGUGUGUGAAGAAGGUCUUCGGAUUGUAAAGCACUUUAAGUUGGGAGGAAGGGUUGUAGAUUAAUACGCUGCAAUUUUGACGUUACCGACAGAAUAAGCACCGGCUAACUCUGUG
rnacentral:rRNA from 1 species